UCAGGCCUAACACAUGCAAGUCGAACGGCAGCACGGACUUCGGUCUGGUGGCGAGUGGCGAACGGGUGAGUAAUGUAUCGGAACGUGCCUAGUAGCGGGGGAUAACUACUCGAAAGAGUAGCUAAUACCGCAUACGCCCUACGGGGGAAAGGGGGGGAUCGCAAGACCUCUCACUAUUAGAGCGGCCGAUAUCGGAUUAGCUAGUUGGUGAGGUAAAGGCUCACCAAGGCGACGAUCCGUAGCUGGUUUGAGAGGACGACCAGCCACACUGGGACUGAGACACGGCCCAGACUCCUACGGGAGGCAGCAGUGGGGAAUUUUGGACAAUGGGGGCAACCCUGAUCCAGCCAUUCCGCGUGUGCGAUGAAGGCCUUCGGGUUGUAAAGCAAUUGUGGCAGGAAAGAAAUCGCACGGGAUAAUACCUCGUGUGG
rnacentral:rRNA from 1 species